GAAGUUACACCUCAGUGGUAGAGUGCCUGCUUAGUAUGCAAGAAGUCCUGGGUUCAAUUCCCAGUACCCCCA
rnacentral:tRNA from 1 species